CGGAGGAGUUAGCGAAAUUCCAAUGUGUGCGGAUCGGCAAAAAAUGCGAAAUAACCCUUUAACCGUACAUUUGACAGAUACGCCCGCACUGACUUUUUUGUAGAUCUUAUUGAGAUACAUGUGUGUGUCAAUUUUUGUGUCAAUAUGACAAAGCGUACAGGCGUGACAGUCAAUAGUGUGAAUUUUCACCUUAGGGGGCGCUAUGGAGCCAUUUUGCAUUUUAUUGUUUGGGCGACUUCAGAAUAUCGAAUUUUUCACCAGGCCCGGUUGUCCUGCCAAAUUUCAUGAGUUUUCGCCAGUGGGAAGUGGGCCAUUUUCCAGUUCAAAGGGGAGGAAAAAGAAGAAAGAAAGAAAGAACUAGGGCCCCGUUGGGGCACUGGCGGGCCCGAGCCGUGUCGCACCCCCCCCCCCCCCCCCAACGCGCUGCCUCCCCGUCCCAUUCGUGUCCUCUGGCCAUCGCCCUCUCUGGUAACGCCCAUCACUGCAAAGACCCUUUUCCUUCAUCGGCGUUUGCUGUUCUUCCUGCCAGUGCGUGUUGCUUUCACUUACACUUGCCACAGCCAGCCUCGUGAGUGCCUAGCCUAUUGGAUAUCACUGUCACCUACACAGGACAGUCAUUACCUUUCUAUUAAUACUUUGUUUUUAAUUUCACAUUAAUUUCCAUAUUGUAUAAACAACUGGAAAAAACUUGAGCCCCUGCCCCUGUAUUAUCAUGUGCACGUCCCUGUUCUAGCUCCAAGGUGAAUCUUCACGGCUCAUGUUCUCCUCAGAAGCAGUCACCUCACUCCCCUCAGGUUACUGUACACAUGCACCAACUGCCUGCUUCAGGUUUGGAUGGAGCUUCAUGGUUGUCUUUUGGAGAAAUGAGCAGUCAAGUUGUGUUUGAAAUUUGAUUUUUUUCAGGGGCAAAAGGAAGCCUCUGCAUUCUUGUCAAAUAUGUAAAUAGCAUGUUUUUGCAGGUGCUAAAAAACAGACUCUGAGUGUGUGUGUGUGUGUGUGUGUGUGUGUGUGUGUGUGUGUGUGUGUGUGUGUGUGUGUGUGUGUGUGUGUGUGUGUGUGUGUGUGUGUGUGUAUCCUGCAGUACUCUGAGAAGAAUAAUAAGCAUAUUUCUGAGGUGAAUUUUGAAGAUUCAUCUGAGAGUUAGGUUUGAUUCGAUUCGAUUGACGCUCCCCAGCGUUCAAGUCACAUGACAUAUUUAACCGGAUGUAGCUGCAAUACGGAGCCUCGUUAACUCUCCGUUUCAACUUAUCUCAAAAGUGAGGACCUCAACCUAUAUACCAGUUUUUAAAUUGUGUUGAUAGGCCAAAUAAAACCAGAGUUAUGAUAAAUUAUGUCCGCGAUACUUUUUUUCUGCUUAUUUUGAUCACGUUCGGCGCUCGAUCGCGCUGUAUGAGACAGGAAAACAUAGCAUGCACACAUUAGCGACAGGUCUUACAGGCGGAAAAGGCUUGCCAAAAGAAAAAAAAACACACCACAACAUCUCUCCUAUUGGUGGAAAACUUCACCACAACAACCAAUCCAAAAUUAUAUGGUGACUGAUUGACAAGGGGCGGGCGCUUACGUUCUUCCUGCAACAUGAGAAGGGAGGGAGGGACUCUCAGCAGGGAUGCAGUCUGGGACACGUAGUUGCAAACCUAGCGACUUUGUUGUUAGAUUCAAUUACUUUUCAGACCCCCUAACGACUUUUUUUUGAAAGAAAGGGACUUUUAUCGACUUCUUCUGGAGUUUAGAGACUCUGACAUGAAGCAGGCUUUCCUUACUGAGGAGUUAGCAACGCUGCUAAGGGUGCAGAGCCACACAUGCGCUCCGAGCUCUGCAUGGGAGACUGAAGCUGACAGAGCUGCAGCAGUUAGCAGGUUUCACCCUCAGAGACCACCAGGGGUUCAUGUUGAGGCAUUUUCAGUUUUUGUUUUUUUUGCCAUAGACUGUCAGCACAAUCUGCAGUUACACUAACAAAAAUGCUGCAAAAAACAAAGAAUUAUGGAAAAAUUACACAUGGACUGACAUAGAGGAGGAUCUACACAAGUUUUUUACAUCAUGUUUUACAUCAUGCAUCAUUUACAUCAUGUUUUUUUGUAGUGGCAUAAAUAAAAAGUGACAUUUGUGAGACUAUACAGUGUUUUGUAAAUAAUUUUACAAAGAACGCCUGGGCCGUUGCCUGCAUUUUGAUGUAAAUAGAGGUAAAUUACUAUGUUCUUUGUUAAAAAUUUGCAUAUGUUUUGAAGUUUACAAUUUUUAUUUGAAGUUUAAGUUUUAAAAACAGUUCAUCACACAUAUUUGUGGUUUAAUUUCACAUUAAUUUCCAUAUUGUAUAAAUGACUGGAAAAAACUUGAGCCCCUGCCCCUGUAUAAUCAUGUGCACGUCCCUGUUCUAGCUCCAAGGUGAAUCUUCACUUCUCAUGUUCUCCUCAGAAAUAGUCACCUCACUCCCCUCAGGUUACUGUACACAUGCACCAACUAUCUGCUUCAGGUUUGGAUGGAGCUUCCUGGUUGUCUUUUGGAGAAAUUAACAGUCAAGUUGUGUUUGAAAUCUAAUUUUUUUCAGGGGCAAAAGGAAGCCUCUGCAUUCUUGUCAAAUAUGUAAACAGCAUGUUUUUGCAGGUGCUAAAAAACAGACUCUGAGUGUGUGUGUGUGUGUGUGUGUGUGUGUGUGUAUGUGUGUGUAUCCUGCAGUACUCUGUACUCCUGCAGUGGCCAAAAAGACUUUUAAGAAUGUGGAUUUUUGGGUCAUCUUUGGCGCCCCCUAGAACUGCAGUACUCUGUACUCCUGCAGUGGCCAAAAUGACUUUUAAGAAUGUGGAUUUUUGGGUCAUCUUUGGCGCCCCCUAGAACGUAAACCGUGGGGUGCAGCAUCAUGAUUUUUACAACUUUGAAUGGGCAUGGGGUGUAGAUUGCCCUGAGCAAAUUUGGUAUCGGUGGGACGAAAGUCUUAGGAGGAGAUAGCCACAUUCCAAUGUGUGCGAAUCGGCAAAAAAUGCGAAAUAGCCCUUUAACCGUACAUUAUACAGAUACGCGCUUUUUGACUUUUUCGUAGAUCUAAUUGAGAUACACAUGAUUGUCAAUUUUUGUGUCAAUAUGACAAAGCGUUCAGGCGUGACACUCAACAAUGUGUAUUUUCAUGUAAGGGGACAAGAAAAAAAGGACUUUUUUCUCCUGCCAUGGGGGGGCGCUCUUUUGGGGAGUAAAAAUUCCUUCACAAAUGUGUUGAUGGCUGGACAUUGCAUCAUCCUAGAAAACUUGGAGGGCAGUGAGGACAAAAAUAAAAAGUUAUAAGACUUUUAAGAAUGUGGAUUUUGGGUUAUCUUUGGCGCCCCCUAGAACGUAAACCGUGGGGUGCAGCGUCAUGAUUUGUACAACUUUUAAUGGCCAUGGGGGGUAGAUUGGCCUGCGCAAAUGUGGUGCCGGUCGAACGAAAGCCUUCGGAGGAGUUAGCGAAAUUCCAAUGUGUGCAGAUCUGCAAAAAAUGCAAAAUAACCCAUUAACCGUACAUUUGACAGAUACGCCCGCACUGACUUUUUUGUAGAUCUUAUUGAGAUACAUGUGUGUGUCAAUUUUUGUGUCAAUAUGACAAAGCGUACAGCCGUCAUGUGAAUUUUCACCUUAGGGGGCGCUAUGGAGCCAUUUUGCAUUUUAUUGUUUGGGCGACUUCAGAAUAUCGAAUUUUUCACCAGGCCCGGUCGUCCUGCCAAAUUUCCUGAGUUUUCGCCAGUGGGAAGUGGGCCAUUUUCCAGUUUAAAGCGGAGGAAAAAUAAUAACGAAAGAAGGAAACAUGCAGGAACAAGAGGGCUCUCGCAGCUGCUUAGCAGCUACGCUCGGGCCCUAAAGAAAGAAAGAAACA